rnacentral:rRNA from 1 species
AUUGAAUGCUGGCGGCAGGCUUAACACAUGCAAGUCGAGCGAGCGGCGGACGGGUGAGUAAUGUCUGGGAAACUGCCUGAUGGAGGGGGAUAACUACUGGAAACGGUAGCUAAUACCGCAUACCAUCGGAUGUGCCCAGAUGGGAUUAGCUAGUAGGUGGGGUAAUGGCUCACCUAGGCGACGAUCCCUAGCUGGUCUGAGAGGAUGACCAGCCACACUGGAACUGAGACACGGUCCAGACUCCUACGGGAGGCAGCAGUGGGGAAUAUUGCGCAAUGGGCGAAAGCCUGAUGGAGCAAUGCCGCGUGAGUGAUGAAGGCCUUCGGAUCGUAAAACACUGUUAGCAGGGAAGCGGUACCUACUCAGGAAGCACCGGCUAACUACGUGCCAGCAGCCGCGGUAAUAC